AACGAACGCUGGCGGCAGGCUUAACACAUGCAAGUCGAACGCAUCCUUCGGGGUGAGUGGCAGACGGGUGAGUAACGCGUGGGAACGUGCCCUUCAGUUCGGGAUAACCCAGGGAAACUUGGGCUAAUACCGGAUACGUGCGAGAGCAGAAAGAUUUAUCGCUGAAGGAUCGGCCCGCGUCUGAUUAGCUAGUUGGUGGGGUAAUGGCCAACCAAGGCGACGAUCAGUAGCUGGUCUGAGAGGAUGAUCAGCCACAUUGGGACUGAGACACGGCCCAAGCUCCUACGGGAGGCUGCAGUGAGGAAUAUUGGACAAUAGGCGCAAGCCUGAUCCAGCCAUGCCGCGGGAGUGAUGAAGGCCUUAGGGUUGUAAAGCUCUUUCGUCCGGGACGAUAAUGACGGUACCGGAAGAAGAAGCCCCGGCUAACUUCGUGCCAGCCGCCGCAGUAA
rnacentral:rRNA from 1 species